UAGGGUUUGAUCUGGCUCAGGAUGAACGCUAGCGGCGGGCUUAACACAUGCAAGUCGAGGGGUAUAGUUCUUCGGAGCUAGAGACCGGCGCACGGGUGCGUAACGCGUAUGCAAUCUACCUUUUACAGAGGGAUAGCCCAGAGAAAUUUGGAUUAAUACCUCAUAGUAUGUGAGAAUCGCAUGGUUUUCACAUUAAAGUUCCAACGGUAAAAGAUGAGCAUGCGUCCCAUUAGCUAGAUGGUAAGGUAACGGCUUACCAUGGCGACGAUGGGUAGGGGUCCUGAGAGGGAGAUCCCCCACACUGGUACUGAGACACGGACCAGACUCCUACGGGAGGCAGCAGUGAGGAAUAUUGGACAAUGGGCGCAAGCCUGAUCCAGCCAUGCCGCGUGCAGGAUGACGGUCCUAUGGAUUGUAAACUGCUUUUGUACAGGAAGAAACACUCCCUCGUGAGGGAGCUUGACGGUACUGUAAGAAUAAGGAUCGGCUAACUCCGUGCCAGCCGCCGCGGUAAUUC
rnacentral:rRNA from 1 species